CCUACGGGGUGCUGCAGUGGGGAAUAUUGGACAAUGGGCGAAAGCCUGAUCCAGCCAUGCCGCGUGUGUGAAGAAGGCCUUCGGGUUGUAAAGCACUUUCAGUGGGGAAGAAAGCCUUGGGGCUAAUACCCUCGAGGAAGGACAUCACCCACAGAAGAAGCACCGGCUAACUCCGUGCCAGCAGCCGCGGUAAUACGGAGGGUGCGAGCGUUAAUCGGAAUUACUGGGCGUAAAGCGCGCGUAGGCGGUCUGAUAAGCCGGUUGUGAAAGCCCCGGGCUCAACCUGGGAACGGCAUCCGGAACUGUCAGGCUAGAGUGCAGGAGAGGAAGGUAGAAUUCCCGGUGUAGCGGUGAAAUGCGUAGAGAUCGGGAGGAAUACCAGUGGCGAAGGCGGCCUUCUGGACUGACACUGACGCUGAGGUGCGAAAGCGUGGGUAGCAAACAGGACUAGAUACCCGUGUAGUC
rnacentral:rRNA from 1 species